rnacentral:tRNA from 1 species
GGAGAGGUGGCCGAGAGGCUGAAGGCGGCGGUUUGCUAAACCGUUAUACGAUUAAUAGUCGUAUCGAGGGUUCGAAUCCCUCCCUCUCCG